CAAAACUCGCCAUAUGACGCCUCCCACCAUACUAUGACGUUCCCCAAGUUUUGGGCUCAAUAAGAUAUUGAUUGGUCCAAGAAAUUGGACUGUUCAUGUUCGUACGCAGUUCGUUCUCUAUUGGAGUGGUUGGUGUAUUAUAUAGUUCUAGAAAUUGGAUUUCACUCAAACCCCACCAAAUCACUCCUCACACAAUAUUAUG
rnacentral:lncRNA from 1 species